UACGAAGGUGGCAAGCGUUGUUCGGAUUUACUGGGCGUAAAGCGUGCGCAGGCGGCUUUGCAAGACAGAUGUGAAAUCCCCGGGCUUAACCUGGGAACUGCAUUUGUGACUGCAUGGCUGGAGUGCGGCAGAGGGGGAUGGAAUUCCGGCGUGUAGCAGUGAAAUGCGUAGAUAUGCGGAGGAACACCGAUGGCGAAGGCAAUCCCCUGGGCCUGCACUGACGCUCAUGCACGAAAGCGUGGGGAGCAAACAGG
rnacentral:rRNA from 1 species